AGAGUUUGAUCAUGGCUCAGAUUGAACGCUGGCGGUAUGCUUAACACAUGCAAGUCGAACGGAAACGAUGUUAGCUCGCUAACAGGCGUCGAGUGGCGGACGGGUGAGUAACGCGUAGGAAUCUACCAAGUAGUGGGGGAUAGCCCGGAGAAAUCCGGAUUAAUACCGCAUAAUCUCUACGGAGUAAAGAGGGCCUCUAUUUAUAAGCUUUCGCUAUUUGAUGAGCCUGCGUAAGAUUAGCUUGUUGGUGAGGUAAAAGCUCACCAAGGCAACGAUCUUUAGCUGGUCUGAGAGGAUGAUCAGCCACACUGGGACUGAGACACGGCCCAGACUCCUACGGGAGGCAGCAGUGGGGAAUAUUGGACAAUGGGCGCAAGCCUGAUCCAGCAAUACCGCGUGUGUGAAGAAGGCCUGAGGGUUGUAAAGCACUUUCAAUUGUGAAGAAAAGCUAAAG
rnacentral:rRNA from 1 species